rnacentral:tRNA from 7 species
GGGGCUGUAGCUCAGCAGGAUAGAGCAACGGUUUCCUAAACCGUAGGCCGUGGGUUCGACUCCCGCCAGUCCCG